GGAUUUGAGAAGAGGUUGCAGCUCAUCAAGGAGCGACACGUGCAGGGAUGGCUUAAAAAUGGCAAAGAGCUGCCCGAAGCCCCGUCCUGUGUAACGUGAGCAUGCCUCUCUGAGUAUGAAGCUUGCUUUCCAGUAGUUCCCAAAACUGUGUUGAAGCUGAAAUGCUGCGUCUGUUUUUUUGUGUUGGGGUUGCACCUUGGUGAUUGGCUUCAGGGUCCAGGUGGGACCUAGUGGUAACUGAGUUGCAGGUAUGCCAUCAGAGAGCUCCUUCUGCCUGGGCCGCACUUUUGGAGGACUAAAACCAGCUUGAUUACCGGCUACAUGUGGCUUGACAGUGUAGAUGCAGCAUUGCCAAGAGACUGAGCAGGGUUGUAUCAUAGUCACCUUUUCAUCUGCAAAGGGUGCUUUGUGCAGUAGUGGAGAGGGAAGGGAAAUCGUCAUGUCACGAAGCUCUGAGGGAAGGUGAGUGGUGUCAGCCUGGUCAUCCCUUAUCUGAAGCGAAGGGAAGACGCUCAGGUGUUUCCCUCAGAGGGUCCGGGGUGAGACUGUUUGGGAUAGAGGAGCAGUGUAGCAGGUGGGUGCUUGCAAGCACAGUGGUCAUUUUGUCCUUUUAUGUUCCCAGGUGGCGUGGGUGAUGCUGGCCGCUCCUUUCAAG